UACGUAGGGUGCGAGCGUUAAUCGGAAUUACUGGGCGUAAAGCGUGCGCAGGCGGCUUUGCAAGACAGAUGUGAAAUCCCCGGGCUUAACCUGGGAACUGCAUUUGUGACUGCAUGGCUGGAGUGCGGCAGAGGGGGAUGGAAUUCCGCGUGUAGCAGUGAAAUGCGUGGAUAUGCGGAGGAACACCGAUGGCGAAGGCGGCGAUCUGGGAAGAUACUGACGCUGAGGUGCGAAAGCGUGGGGAGCAAACAGG
rnacentral:rRNA from 1 species